rnacentral:rRNA from 1 species
UAAUACGGGGGGGGCCAGCGUUGUUCGGAAUUAUUGGGCGUAAAGGGCGCGUAGGCGGCCCAGUCAGUCAGGCGUGAAAUCCCGCGGCUCAACCGCGGAACUGCGUUUGAAACUGCUGGGCUUGAGUCCCGGAGAGGGUGGCGGAAUUCCUAGUGUAGCGGUGAAAUGCGUAGAUAUUAGGAGGAACACCAGUGGCGAAGGCGGCCACCUGGACGGGUACUGACGCUGAGGCGCGAAAGCGUGGGGAGCAAACAGGAUUAGAUACCCUGGUAGUCCACGCUGUAAACGAUGAACACUUGGUGUUGCGGGUAUCGACCCCUGCAGUGCCGAAGCUAACGCAUUAAGUGUUCCGCCUGGGGAGUACGGUCGCAAGGCUG